CCUACGGGGGGCUGCAGUGGGGAAUAUUGGACAAUGGGGGCAACCCUGAUCCAGCCGUGCCGCGUGUGUGAAGAAGGCCCUCGGGUUGUAAAGCACUUUCAGUGAGGAAGAACGCCUGGUGGUUAAUACCCAUCAGGAAAGACAUCACUCACAGAAGAAGCACCGGCUAACUCCGUGCCAGCAGCCGCGGUAAUACGGAGGGUGCGAGCGUUAAUCGGAAUUACUGGGCGUAAAGCGCGCGUAGGUGGCUUGAUAAGCCGGUUGUGAAAGCCCCGGGCUCAACCUGGGAACGGCAUCCGGAACUGUCAAGCUAGAGUGCAGGAGAGGAAGGUAGAAUUCCCGGUGUAGCGGUGAAAUGCGUAGAGAUCGGGAGGAAUACCAGUGGCGAAGGCGGCCUUCUGGACUGACACUGACACUGAGGUGCGAAAGCGUGGGUAGCAAACAGGAUUAGAUACCCCUGUAGUC
rnacentral:rRNA from 1 species